rnacentral:lncRNA from 10 species
GCUUAAUUUAAAUGGAAUUUUAAUUUAUAAAAUUUUAAACUCUCCACAAGUACUGGCCGUGGGCAAAUACAGAAAAUCAGAUUAAAAAAAUAAAUGGAUAAGGGAAAAUUAAAAUUGCAUGACUGUCUUUUAGUCUAAGAGGGAUCUUAUGAGGAUGCUCAACAGUUAACAGUACAUGUUUAGAGAGAACCAAACAAGAGGCUACGUCUUAAAGCAGAAUAGAUUGUGGUUGGGCAUAAGGAGACUAUUGAUUGCUUGAAGACACAGACAGCUCAAGGAAAAUUGGACAUAGAGCUGAAAAGUGAUGUUUUUGACAAAGAAUUGUUCUGCACAUCCAGCUGUGGAGGAAUCCUUAAGGCUCACAGAGGAACAAACAAGAAGCAGUCUUCAGAGAUCAGGGGCGGAAUCCCCAAUGUCAGGAGCAAGGUUGCUGUGGGGAAAUUCUACUCUUCCUAUCUUUCCUGAACUGGAAUUAAAAAGCACCUAAAUCCAGAAGGAGGCUCUCUGUCCUACGAUUUCUGAGUCAGCACCAUGACAAACAUAUGGUUGCUUACAGUGGACCCAGGAGCAAGGAAAUCCAAGCUUGCAAAGGGGGCAUCUGGUCCCCACCAAGAUUUGUACUUCAUUUUUUGUAGUGAUGCCUUCUACUCAUUUAACUUCAUAAGACCAACAGAUUUCCUACUGAUAACACAGAACACUUCUGAACUGGUGUGUGCACACACGGCACAUCCUCAAUAUACAGGAUCAGAGUUCAAAUCCAGGGUGUGUUCCACUGUUGAUCAAUUAAACCAGUAAAUGGUGUCUCAAAUAGAACAAUCUUUGGUGAUAUAGGUGCCAAGUAAAUAUAAUUGCCUGUGAUAGUUUUCCCAAAUGUUCCCAUCUAGAUUGCCUGAUAUUCUAUGUGUCCCUCAGAAACACUUUUUGGCUUGAGAGAGGGAAAUGAUUCUGAGUCCCACCCUACCUAAGGCCUCCUAAAGCUUUUAAAUUGUAUUCAGGUACCACAUUCGUGACUGAAUUGGUACUAGAGAGCAAGUAAAGUGUAUCCAGGUCCUCUGGAAGCUAAGGUCCAAUGUCUUCUCUCUCACAGUGAGAAUAUUUUACUUCCAGGAGAAAAGGCAUAUUAAGGCUAAGUUCUGAACUAGUUUUCUAUGUUUGCUUCUACCAUAAGUCAAUAAAUAUUUAUCAAGAAGCUCAUCUUUUCCAGAGGUUAGUAAGUACCCUUCCCUGACCUCACAUAUCUAUAACAUAGAUAAAUGCUAGGAGCCACCUGCAUUGCUGAACAAAGGCAGAUAGCGUGCAAGCUUCCAUAAAUGCAUUCCCUGCAUUAGCCACUUCAACUCUGCUUCAAAUGAGAAGGAUGAAGAUGGUGUACAAAGGAAAACAGCAUAGUCCCCAGAAGCCCUCAAAAUCUAGUCAAAAUGUCACAGAAAAAUCUGCAUGUGCAGCAAAAAGGUUUCCCUAGCACACUAAUUGAGCAGUAGUAGUCUAAUAUUGGUCAGCCAGCUUUUCAAGGUCCAGGAGGAUGAAGUAGUCCAUUAACCUGUUUUCUAAACUUGUCAAUUCAGGGUAAAAAAUGGGUCAUGAAAAAUUUUCUGACCUCAGGCAGGCUGUGGGCCCAGCUGCAGGUGAAAUCCAGACAAAUGCAGUCCCUUCACAAUGUGACUGUUACACAUUUAAGAAGUUGGUCUCUCUAAAAAACAAAGUUCUUGCACCUGUGUGCAACAUACCAACAUUUUACCCCAACAUGGUGAGCUAUUAUCUGGCUUGAAAUCUGUUUCAGCAUCACAGUAACCAGAACAUCAUUGUUAUCUAGCCCAGUCCCAGCAGCUUUGUGAGGUAAAUUAAGUCCAAACUUUAAGUUAAAAAAGUGCCCUGUGCUAAAUUCCCAAUUAUCCUUGCUUACAUAAUAUACGGGAGUCGGCGCUGGGGGAUAUAAUUCUUUAUGCAAUUGCCUAAUAAACUAUGCCUUAAUAGGAGAAUGCAAGAAAUAUUAAGGGAAACUCAACUUACUUGACCAUUUAGAGUCAGCCUUUCUCUAGGAACGGGCUGAGCCUGAAUAAUCAUGGUAUAAACAAGCCUGUUGGGCUCUGACUCUACCUAGAUCAGAGACUACGUAGGGCUGUAUGUUUUGCCCUUCAGCGCCUUCAUCCCCUCACCUGUGAAGGGAGAUGAUUCUUAAUUCUGUGGUUUCUGGAGAAGUCAAAAGAGAGACAAAAUAAAGCAUUCAUUGUUCUUGUGUUUGGUAAAUUCCCUCUUAUAGGAAAUAUAUUUCACUUUCCUAAAUAAGAUAAUAACACGAGGCCCUAAACAUUAAUUCCAGAAAUUCUGUUCCAUUAUUCUUCCUCAAGGGGCCCUCUUUUCCUUAGUACCUUGACUGAACUCUCAGGAAAUUUCAUUAAGCAAGAUUACCACCACUACCCACCAAAAGCUUAAUGUUUAAUGCUAAUUAUUCCCUAGCAUUCCCUAUAUAUCCUUGUCUUCCACAGACACAGAUUUAAAUUUUUAAAAACUGGAUCUCUAAGUUUCAAACAUACUAAUUUUUACUUAAAUGAAGCUUCUUCCCAGAUAGAUCUGGUAGGAACCUAAGUGAAGAGUUAAUGAUUUAAUGUAUGAUUUAGUUGCAGGGCUUGAGUUAAGUUGGUUUAUGAAUUACCCAAUGAAGAGAGGCUCCAGAUUAUUCAUCAAUGUCCACAAAAAUAGGUUGGGGUGGUGGGGAAUGGGAAAAAAAAAUCACAAUCAGUUAAAAUUUGCUGUAAUAUUUCCUUAUAUUUGUAGAGCUGUUUAGAAUUCACCCAGUUUGCAGGAUUAAAACAUUUUCAAAUCUUGAGGAAGAAUGAUUGGGUUAUAAAUUUGCAGGUGAUUAGGAUAAAAAAAAUUCAGCAAAGCAAACCAUUUAAG